ensembl:lncRNA
GACAGAUGGUGGGCAGGGAGGGUAGUGCUAUGACCUCAGCGCGGUGCCUGGGGAGCACUGAUAUGCAGCCUUUGCUAGCACUUGCCAGGAAAAGAAGUGACCUUGCUCUGCUGACUGGGACCUGGGGGCCUUGGGAUGAAAUGUUGGCAGCAAAGGACCUGUUUGCAGAGCUUCACUGUCCCUGCACCAGCAGAGGAACUGAUGCCUUCAGCUACCUCCAUCCAACAGGAAGCCACACAGCUCCUUCUCCCUGGCAUUUGGCAGAGAGCACUCGGCUGUCCUUCCAUGUGAGGUCUUGGAAUCCGUUCUCCUCAGAAAACAAGUAAAGAUGGCAAGAAAAACGACAUAUGAAAUUAGUGAAAGAGGAAAUAUAUGACUAAAAUCCUGCACCAAGAUGUGAACCUACCUGCAGAUGGGAAGGCUGGUAAAUACAUUAAUUCCACCUUCAAAUUAUUCUCCCUCAAACUGAGAUCUUGGUUCAAGUUUCCAAUUUGAUGUGGUUGAAGAAGACACAAGUGGAGAGACAAGAGGUUGGUGGAAGUGCCUAAGGUAACUGAGCAGGUUUGGCACUGUUCAUGGCACCCAGUUUUGUGCAGGGUCUGCAAGCUCAGCCCCCGAGAGACACUUUCCAGGGAUCUCUCCAUACACAGCCUCAGAUUGGGAGGGCUGUGGUCAGCAAAGGGUACGGAAUGGGUUCCCAGAUUGGGUGGCACUUGCUCUCUACGUAUGCCAGGCUCAAUGCAAGGCUGAGCUGAUGGGCCUAGAAGUCACGAGAUAAACAGCUCAUAGAACUGUGGAGAAAAGAUCACUGUGAACUGGAAUGCAAAUGGGUAACUGGUUAGUACUUGGGCAGGUGGGUAGGAUUGGACACAUCUUACUUAAGAAUUACUAUGUAUAAAUGCACCAUUUUAGGGAAAAGAAAUCAUUAUUUACACUUGCAAUUUUUUGUGCUCCCUUUUAUGCGACCCUCAGCCUUGGAAACCCAAGUUUAAAUAAAGUGAAUAGCUAGCCCUUUAAGGCAAGAGACAAAACAAAAGCCAGAACUCCACACAUAAUCCACUGAAGCCCUUUACUUCCUGUUUUUGAUCAGCAGCCCAUUUUUCUUUCACUGUUGUGAGAGAUUUCAAUGGCUUUAAUUUAUUCAUUAAUCUACAUGUAUUUCUGCACCAUAUUUUUUGCCAGUUAAGUCUAUAAAAAGAUAUUUGUCAUGGGACUGAAAAUAAAAUAUUUUAAAACCUGUAAAAUCAUGGAAACAGAUUUGAUUAAAUUCCAAAUGACUAGCUUUGCAUAUAAUUUCCCCCUCUGGACUGUGUGCCUUAAAGAUAAAUAUCAUGUCUUCUUCAUCACAUCAAUAAUAGGUGUUAGAUACAUAUUUAUUGGAUUAAUGUGUCUCUGUUAUCUAUUGCUGUGUAACAAAGUAUCCUAAAGCUUAGUGGAGUAAAAUAACAGCCUCUGGAUUUUAUUCUUUGCAG